AUUGAACGCUGGCGGCAGGCCUAACACAUGCAAGUCGAGCGGAUGAAGGGAGCUUGCUCCUGGAUUCAGCGGCGGACGGGUGAGUAAUGCCUAGGAAUCUGCCUGGUAGUGGGGGAUAACGUCCGGAAACGGGCGCUAAUACCGCAUACGUCCUGAGGGAGAAAGUGGGGGAUCUUCGGACCUCACGCUAUCAGAUGAGCCUAGGCCGGAUUAGUUAGUUGGUGGGGUAAAGGCCUACCAAGGCGACGAUCCGUAACUGGUCUGAGAGGAUGAUUAGUCACCCUGGAGGUGGGACAGGGACCAGACUACUGCGGGAGGGAGCAGUGGGGAAUAUUAGGCAGUGGGCGAGAGCCUGAUCCAGCCAGGCCGCGUGUGUGAAGAAGGUCUUCGGAUUGUGAAGCACUUUAAGUUGGGAGGAAGGGCAGUAAGUUGAUACCAUGCUGUUGUGACGUUAACAACAAAAGAAGCACCGGCUAACUUCGUG
rnacentral:rRNA from 1 species